AGGGUUAAGGUUGAAAGGGGUUUAACACACAUAAUCAUAUGUGACAGCUGUUAAAAGUUUUAUAUAGUUCUGCUAGUAACUUUCUCUCCGAGGAGGGGCCUUGUGUUUGAUUAGGUAGUUGGUAAGGCAAAGCUAACUAAGGCAAUUAGGAAGAUCAACACACUAACUGAGACACAUCCCAUACUUCUACCGAACGCAGUAGUGGGGAAUUCUUCGCCAUGUGGAGGUAGAAGAGGCAACGAAAGCAUCGACUUUCUUUGUGCUAGCAACGGCGGGGAAAAAGAGGAUGCAAGCAUUAUCU
rnacentral:rRNA from 1 species